ACUCAGUCCAGUGAGCCACACCAGCCAGAACUAAAGCAUCCUUGACAAGAAAUCAUUCCUCAAAUGGGUGCAUAUAUGAGAAUGUGUGUUGGAGGUCAAGUGGACACAGAAGGAGAAUCCAAGGAGGAUGUUACAUGUCAGUUUGUAAAGUAGAAUGGGAAUGUAGCCUACUUCCUCACUUUAAUGAUAUGUUUUAAAAAUCUUUUUCUAAAAAACAUGUAGGUUUUCUCCCAAAUCUCUACCCCCAAGAAUCUGACUUGAUGUUCUGUUUAAACAUCUAAUGUUUCUGGUUUAGUUUUAGUAGUAGUUGAGUCAGAAUAAGUAUCCAUAGUUAAAUUAUUACCAUAUCUAUAUAUUUCGUGUUGCCUAUUGAGGACAUGGUGCAAAUGAAUCAAACACAGUAACUUAGAGCUCUCAAUAACUCCCUGCUAGUUGGAGCUUACUAGGCAGUAUUGUUGAAUACUUGGCCAGAAAUUACAACAUUCUGUUAUGAAAGUAACCCUUGUAUCUUUCAGGUGCUAGUGUUCCAAUUUUAAGGCAGUAGUAGGGAGCAGUAGGAUAAAAGAGGUGGGAAAAGAGAAAGGAAUGCAAAAGGUCUUAAGGAAAACUAGCAAAAUCUAUAAAUAAGCAAACUAUAAUCUAGACAGGUGAGGUCACUAAUUCUGGAGCAGGAUGAAAUCUGGAAAAACCAGACUUCCAACAAUGAAGACUAGUUGCUUGCUAGUAAUCAUCUUUGUAUCUGAGAACUGGGAGCUGAAGAAUUGAACUUGCUUUUGAUAAUUUCUUGAUUUAACCAAGUCCAGGAGAAAUAGAAGCUCUAUCUAAUACAUAGAAACAAACACAGGGAAGCAGCCAAAAUGUGGACACAAUGAAACAGGUCCCAAAUUAAAGAAUAGG